AGGAAACAAGACUCUACAGUUCCCUCUCUGUUAUCAGUUAUCAGUUAGAAGGUAGAGGAGCUAUGGCGAAGAGGACAAACUUUCUUCUGUGUGGGCUUCCCUGCUUGAUCAUCUUUGUGACAAAACACAGUUCAUCGGGCAGAGAUCCAUGUACAAGCAACCCCUGCCCUCAUUUUGCUUCCUGUGUCUAUGACAAUGAAAAAUACUACUGUUCUUACCCUGAAUAUGUCUCAACCACAGGAAAAGAAGCACUCACAGACAAGAAAGUUACAC